UUUUAGUGUUGGAUAAAGACCGAGCAUAUGUAUACAUAUUUGUCAAUCUCAUUUUAAGCCUUUGUACAUUUUAAUAAAGAUUCUGUUUAAUAAAGACUUUUGUUCAAAAGUGAAAACAUAAAUGUUUUAAAUUUGUGAAAAUGACGAACGAAGCAAUCAGAUGAGAGUGUGACUGCUAAAAUGCAUUGAGCAAUUCUACUAUACAAACCAGUACUAACGUUUUGUUAAACUUCAAAAGAUGUUGCGAAAAUACCUAUUUGAAACAGGCGUAAUAUCAUUUAUUUUUGCGUUCUUCGUAAACUUAGUCAUUUUGCGAAAUACAAAUUUUACUGUGCUCUGUACCAAAGAAAUUCCACUCCAGACGCAGUUUUCUUCAAUUGAUAUUGUUGCUCAAUUUAACUUGCCUAAUAGCGCUGGACUAGAACCAAAGAUUACCAACGUGUCGAGAGUAACUAAUUUUAGAAAUCGGUCCAGUGAUGAUGUUGCAAGAAACGCACAAUCAAGGAAUUAUUUUACGCACCUUAGUUAUGAUUUUAUACAUAAUGUUUUAUUUGCGGGGGCUACAAACAAAAUAUUAAAACUUAACGAAAACUUGCGUGUGCUGUCUGAAGCUAUUACUGGACCAGUAAACGAUUCGCCUCAAUGUCAUGCAGGUGGCUGUCCCGAAGACAUCGAAACUUCGUUAGUUAAUAACUACAAUAAAAUCCUUGUAGUUAGCUACUCUCACGACGGGAUUCUUAUAUCAUGUGGCAGCAUUCGACAAGGUGCUUGCGAAAUAUAUAGUCUGCCUCGAUUUCCAUCAAAGCCCCAGUUCAUUGCUGUACCAUUGGCUGCAAAUGAUGAAAAUGCUUCGACGUUUGCAUUUGUGGGCCCUGCAAGAUAUUCUUGGAAAGAAGACGACAUAUUGUACGUUGGAACCACUUUUACCAACGUUGGAGAUUAUCGCCAUGAUGUCCCUGCUAUUUCCUCUCGUCGCCUUGAUGAUUUAAAUUAUGCGGAGUUCUCCAUUCAACAGUCAAUUAUAAAUAUCGAUGUUAAGUAUCGAGACCAUUUUUUGGUCAACUACAUUUAUGGAUUUAAUUCUUCAGACUAUGCAUACUUCAUAUUAGUUCAAAAAAGGUCCCAUUUAGCAGACGAGGCUGGAUAUGUAACCCGGUUGGCCCGUAUAUGCAUCACAGAUCCUAAUUAUGACAGUUACACUGAAAUAACAAUUCAGUGUACCGCAACUGAAAGAAAUACAGAUUACAAUAUUUUACGGGAUGCUAAAAUAACCCCAGCUAGUUAUAAACUAGCUCAUCAAAUGGGCAUAAAAAAGGAUGAUCAUGUGUUGGUUACGGUUUUUUCUCCGUCAAAAGAAAUAAGCGAUCAACCGGAGCGGAAGUCUGCAAUGUGUAUAUACAGCAUUAAAGAUAUAGAGGAUAUGUUUAUUGAAAAUAUACACAUGUGCUUUAACGGAACCACAAAAGAUCGUAACUUAGGAUAUAUAUCUGGCACUAUUAACGAUGGAAGGUGUCCCAUUGUUGGCUCCCUUGGAAACAUUUACAACUUUUGUUCCGUAGGACUUAAAAUAAGCGGAGUGUCUCCAAUUACAACUCAAGCACUUUUUCAUUUUGACAAUGUGUCCGUCACUUCAGUAACGGCGACGUCAACUACAGAUCAACAACAUUCGUUGGCUUUUCUUGGAACAGAUAAAGGUACUAUAAAAAAAGUUUUAUUGUCAGGACAAAACCCAGGAGAGUAUGAAGAAAUAAUUGUAGAUGCUGGUAACCGGAUAUUACCAAAUACUAUGAUGUCGCCAAAAAAGGAUUUUUUAUAUGUUUUAUCCUUACGAAAAAUUACAAAGUUAAGAAUUGAACAUUGUUCUGUAUAUACAAAUUGUUCAGCUUGCUUAGAAUCUCGUGAUCCUUUUUGUGGAUGGUGUUCUUUAGAAAAACGGUGCACUGUACGAUCUACUUGCCAACGAGAUACUUCUGCCUCACGGUGGCUUUCAUUGGGUAGUGGACAACAAUGUAUAGACUUUGAGUCAAUUGUACCGGACAAAGUUCCAAUUACUGAACUAACACUGCUACAUUUAAUUAUUCGGACAUUACCAGAGCCUUUUAAUGCGAAAUAUCGAUGUGUUUUUGGAAACUCCACUCCUAUUGACGCCGAAAUCCUUGAAAAUGGUCUUGGAUGCGCCACACCACCACUGGAUCAGAGGCCAAUUAUUCCAACUAACACUGAUCAUGUUUUAGUUCCUUUAUCUGUGCGAAGCUCCGAAACUAAUAAAGACUUUGUGUCAAGGUCAUUCGCAUUUUUUGACUGCUCACAUCAUAGUAAAUGCCGGGAAUGUGUAGUCAGUUCUUGGGGAUGUAACUGGUGCAUUUUUGACAAUAAAUGUAUCCACAAAUCUCAACAAUGCCGAAACAUGGAAAUCGCUAUAAGUACUGCAGGACAGUGCCCCCAUUUAAAAAAAAAUAGUCAGCCAAUUCUUAUGCCUGUACGCGUUCCAAAAGAAAUUCGCCUUGAGAUAGAAAACUUACCAAAACCAAAAAAUGCCCAUGCCGGCUUUUUAUGUACCAUUCAUAUUGAAGCCGCUCAAAUGCUUUUGCCAGCACAUAUUGAAUCUAAUAAAAUAGUAGUUUGUGAAAAAACUCCUUACUUCUAUGAAACAAAUGCCCAUGAGUAUCAGGCUAAAGUUGUUAUUACAUGGAAUUUUCAGCAUUACGUGGACACGGCUAUGGUUACAUUGUACAAAUGCGAUGUGUUAGGUUCGCACAGGGAUCACGCAGAUUGUAGCUUGUGUGUCACUCGUGAACCAAAGUAUCAAUGUGCCUGGUGCGGCAAUUCUUGUGUUUACAACGAAACCUGUAGUUCUGAAAGUAGUUUUAUCAAUGAAAGGCCACCAACACUUGAAAAAAUUGAUUGUCCCUUACCUAGGAUUGAUAUUAUCAAACCGUUAUCUGGACCUAUUGAAGGUGGAACUCUUGUGACAAUUGAAGGAAGUAAUUUGGGAAUACGCGAAGAAGAUGUACGCGGAAAAAUAUAUAUUGGUUCUAUUCCAUGUCAUCUCGUAAGUUAUCAAAUAUCUGUAAAAAUUGAAUGCCAGACGGAAGCAGCAAUGUAUGAAAUGUCAGCCCCGAUCAAGGUUGCGAACGAUGCCGGAUACACUGAAUCUAGCGUACAAUUUCAUUUUAAGAAUGUACAACUAACAGGCGUGUAUCCGACUAUAGGGCCAAGGUCGGGAGGAACGCAAUUGUCUUUAAUAGGAAGCUUUUUAAAUAUUGGUUCAAGUAUACGAGCAUAUUUAGAUGAGUAUGAGUGUUACGUUAACGUUUCUCAGUCUUCUUCGUCUCAAGUUACCUGCACUACUUCAGAGGCAACACAACCGGAACCUAUUCAAUCCCUACGUUUGUUUAUUGAUGGUGCAAACCGUACAUUAACUUGUCAGAGUUCAAUUCAAAAUAUUACCACUAAAAAUCGACUAGUAAAUCCACUACGGAGUGAUUUAAAUGCAUAUCAAUUCCGGAUAUUCCCCCGUCACAUCUGUUCUGUUUUUAAUUACACACAGGAUCCUAGGAUAAUGCAAAUCAAACCACUAAGGAGUUUUGUUAGUGGAGGCCGUGUACUUACUGUUCAUGGAAUGUAUCUUGACUCCAUUCAAAAGCCAGAGUUGGAAGUAUUUUUUGAUAGUGAAAGAAUUAAUAAAACUUCUUGCGUUGUUAUUAACUCUAAUCAAAUGGAAUGCCCUUCUCCUCCAGUUAACUUCAAAUUUUAUAAUUUUAAAAAUUUGAAUGGAGUUUUGGAUUCAGAAUUUGACAUAAGGAAUUCUUCGGCAAUGGAAACUAAUGGUCCAAAUAAAAGACAAAAGAGAAAAACUCGUCUCGUGGACGAUUUUCAUACAUACAAGACAGGAGAAACGACAUCAAAAUAUUUUAGUGGCAAUAAUAUGGAUGUUACAACAUUCGUGAAGGUUCACGAAACGCAACUAAAUUUGCAACUUAGUUUUGUAAUGGACAACGUCCAGCUUGUGAGGGACUUAAAUAAAUAUUUUCAUGAUAUAAGAAGCACGAUUGUUUAUUUGACUGAUCCAAAGUAUUUUCAAUUUCCGAACGACGGAAUAAAACUUUACAAAGGUGAUAGCUUAGUUAUUGAAGGCGAACUUUUAAAUUUAGCAGCAGAUGAAUAUGAUGUAAAUGUAACAAUUGGUACCACCCAAUGUAAUAUAACAAGUCUGGCACUUACACAACUUUUGUGCAUUCCACCGGAGCAACAGCCCCCCCCAACUGACGAAAAUGGCGUAGAUCAGACAAUCGAUUUACCAUUAGUAGUAGUAAAAGUGGGUCGUAAUCUUCGAUUUGUCAUCGGACAUCUCAAAUAUGAUAUAAAUAAACCGCACGCCUUUUCACAUGCUUUAUUUGGUGUUAUGUUUACAAUAGCUGUUCUUGUUGUUGUUUUACUUAUUGUUUUAGUAAUAUACAGAAGAAAAUCUACCCAGGCAGAGCGUGAGUAUAAACGCAUUCAGAUACAGAUGAUUACAUUAGAAAGCAAUGUUCGAUCUGAGUGUAAACAAGCUUUUGCAGAGCUCCAAACCGAUAUGACUGACCUGACAGCAGAUCUUGAGAGCAGUGGAAUCCCAACGCUUGACCAUGUAAACUACAUUAUGAAAGUUUUUUUUCCUGGUGUAUCAGAUCAUCCAAUUUUAAAUUCAGCUAAAUUUCAUGAAAGUUGCCCACAAAAUAAUUAUGAUGCUGCUAUGCUUCAAUUUGAACAACUAAUUUGCAACAAAUACUUUUUACUAAUAUUCAUAGAAACUUUGGAAGCUCAGCGCUCGUCAUUUUCAAUUCGAGACCGUGUAAAUGUUGCAUCCUUGCUUAUGGUUGUAUUAAUGAAUAAAAUGGAGUAUGCCACAGAGAUUUUAAAGUCACUCCUACUUCGGCUAAUUGAAAAGUCGCUGGAAAGCAAACAUCCUCAGCUUAUGCUGCGACGUACUGAAAGUGUUGUUGAAAAAAUGUUAACCAAUUAUUUGGCCAUAUGUAUGUACGACUAUUUAAAAGAAUACGCUGGAUCAAGUUUAUUUCUUUUGUUUAAGGCCAUAAAACAUCAAAUUGAAAAAGGCUUAGUAGAUGCCAUAACCAAUGACGCCCGUUAUUCCCUUUCCGAAGAGCGACUUUUACAUGAGCAAGUUACUCAUUCUGUUGUUAUUUUGCAUAUCUUGCAAGAUGAUCUUGAUGAAAAAGUCCAAUGUCGCGUUAACGACUGGGAUACGAUUUCGCAAGUAAAGCUUAAAAUACUUGAUGCUAUUUUUAAAAAUACUCCGUUUUCAAUGAGACCAUCUAUAUACGAGGUCGACUUAGAAUGGAGGCAUGGUCGGGGGGGUCACCUAACAUUGCAAGAUGAAGACUUAACCACAAAAACCAUAAACGGUUGGAAACGUCUUAACACAUUAGCACACUAUGGAGUCAAAGAAUCCGCUGUAAUGUCUCUUAUUGCUAGGCAAAAUGAUAGUUAUCAUAUACCCUACAGUAAGGGACAUCAUCCGGCACCAUAUCAUAAUUUUUAUUUCAUUAACAAUUCCCAGAGCCAUAUCAUUAUAAAUAACGACAUUGAGUCUGGAUUGCAGCAGCCUCGAAUUUACCAUUUGGUUAAACCGUUAAUACCUGAUCAUUAUAUGAAUAUAAAAAAUUCUACUUUAUCGGGACCGUCAACUGCAUUGCAAGCUUCGCAAUCUACAAGUUAUUGUAAUGAGAGAAUAAACAAAACAAUACCUGAAGUAUACUUAACACGCCUAUUAGCCACUAAGGGAACUAUUCAAAAAUUUGUCGAUGAUUUCUUUUCCAUUAUUCUAACUGUAAAUGAAGAACUACCACCUGCGGUAAAAUGGCUCUUUGACUUGUUGGACGAGGAAGCGUCCAGACAUGGUAUUGGCAAUUCCGAUAUUGUGCAUGCGUGGAAAUCCAAUUGUUUACCAUUGCGAUUUUGGGUUAACUUUAUAAAAAAUCCCGAUUUCAUAUUUGAUGUAAAUAAAACAUUUUCUGUAGACUCCUGUCUAAGUGUAAUUGCACAAACCUUUAUGGAUGCUUGCUCUACAUCUGAACAUAGACUUGGAAAGGAUUCGCCUUCAAACAAAUUGCUCUUUGCAAAGGAUAUUCCAAAUUAUCGAAUAAUGGUAAAGAGUUUUUACCGUGAUGUUUCUCGUCUUCCGCAAAUAAGCGAUCAGGAAAUGAGUACAGCUAUGCAACAACUGUCUGUAAGGCAGCUCGACGAAUUUGAUACCAUUUCAGCUUUAAAAGAGUUAUAUAUUUAUGUAACGAAAUACAAAAAUCAGAUUAUGGAAGCUCUUAAGUCUGAUAUAAAUAGCCGAAAAAUGAACCUUUUUCAAAAACUAGAAAAUGUUGCAAGUACACUGGAUGGCGAGGAGAUUUCAAAUUGCUGACAUGAAUCUUUUUCCGAGUCCAUCUUUAGCUAACACAAACAAACUGGAUGGUUUACCCACUCGAGAGCACGCCGCGUAUAAUUGGCCGUGUGAAAAACAUGGUGUUCUUAAAUCUAAGCUACAAAUAGACAUCGAUUGACCUUGGGAUUGUUUGAUAGUCAUUGGAAAUGCCAUUCUUUAUCGCCGCCCAUAAAGAAGAUUUAUGUCAUCUUAUGGAAAGUAUUAAUUAAUGUGGACGAUGUGCGGGUUAUAAUCGUAAAACAUAUAGACUUAAAGAAAAGAGAUAUGUGUCUUCAAUUGUAAGAUAAUAUAGGAUCUUAGUAUAAGUAAAAAAAAAUAAAGAUUUUCAUGUAAAUUUAUAAACGUAAGAAAAUUUAAAUAUAUUUUUAUGAUUAGUUUGUAUGUGUACAAAUUCGUAGUUUAAUUUCCGAUAAAAAAAAAUCAAAUUAAGAUUUUAA